rnacentral:rRNA from 1 species
GACGAACGCUGGCGGCAUGCCUAAUACAUGCAAGUCGAGCGAACAGAUGGAGUGCUUGCACUUCUGACGUUAGCGGCGAACGGGUGAGUAACACGUAAGGAAUCUACCUAUAAGCGGGGGAUAACAUUCGGAAACGGGUGCUAAUACCGCAUAAUAUCUUCUUCCGCAUGGAAGAAGAUUGAAAGACGGCUCUGCUGUCACUUAUAGAUGACCUUGCGGUGCAUUAGUUAGUUGGUGGGGUAACGGCCUACCAAGACGAUGAUGCAUAGCCGACCUGAGAGGGUGAUCGGCCACAGUGGGACUGGGACACGGCCCAAACUCCUACGGGAGGCAGCAGUAGGGAAUCUUCCGCAAUGGGCGAAAGCCUGACGGAGCAAUGCCGCGUGAGUGAAGAAGGCCUUCGGGUCGUAAAACUCUGUUGUAAGAGAAGAACAAAUUGUAGAGUAACUGCUACAGUCUUGACGGUAUCUUAUCAGAAAGCCACGGCUAACUACGUGCCAGCCGCCGCGGUAA